rnacentral:rRNA from 1 species
AGUGAACGCUGGCGGUAGGCCUAACACAUGCAAGUCGAACGGCAGCACAGUAAGAGCUUGCUCUUACGGGUGGCGAGUGGCGGACGGGUGAGGAAUACAUCGGAAUCUAAUUUUUCGUGGGGGAUAACGUAGGGAAACUUACGAUACUACCGCACACGACCUACGGGUGAAAGCAGGGGAUCUUCAGACCUUGCGCGAUUCAAUGAGCCGAUGUCGGAUUAGCUAGUUGGCGGGGUAAAGGCCCACCAAGGCGACGAUCCGUAGCUGGUCUGAGAGGAUGAUCAGCCACACUGGAACUGAGACACGGUCCAGACUCCUACGGGAGGCAGCAGUGGGGAAUAUUGGACAAUGGGCGCAAGCCUGAUCCAGCCAUACCGCGUGGGUGAAGAAGGCCUUCGGGUUGUAAAGCCCUUUUGUUGGGAAAGAAAAGCAGCAGGUUAAUACCCCGCUGUUCUGACGGUACCCAAAGAAUAAGCACCGGCUAACUUCGUG